UUAUAUCGUGGUGUAUUGGGUGGUAAUAAAAUUACCCAUAUUAAAAUUGUACGCAAACCCUAACUGCACAAAUGACAAAAUAACCCUUAAUUAAGACAAGGUUAAUUAAAAGUAAGAUAGUGUGUUAAAAUAAAUGAUGAAGCGACAAAUCGUUUAUCAUCCACACAGCCACAUGCGGUAACUGCGUGUGAGAGUCUGAGAGAGAUGGCGUACAGUGCUAUUGUGCACCUGGGUUCACCGGCCUCCGCGGCUACUUUAUCCACCUCCCGCAUUUAUCUACUCCACUGCCACGUGACAUCACCACCCAACAUUCCGCGAUACAAUACCAGGCAAUCUCCAGUACUUCGCCGUAAUCUCCGCGCUCGCGCCUCCUUGCUAUCCGCUGUCGGAGAUGGUAGCGCGAUGCUCCAGGACGCUGGCGCCACGGUGUUGGUGAUGGGCGGUGCUUACGCUCUUGUAUC
rnacentral:lncRNA from 1 species